GACGAACGCUGGCGGCGCGCUUAACACAUGCAAGUCGAACGGAAAGGCCUGCUUUCCCUUGUGGAUUGCGGGUACUCGAGUGGCGAACGGGUGAGUAACACGUGAGUGAUCUGCCCCCAACUUGGGUAUAAGCCUGGGAAACUGGGUCUAAUUCCCGAUAGGACUGCAGGGUGGUGCCUGUGGUGGAAAACGAUUUUCUAGUGGUUGGGGAUGAGCUCGCGGCCUAUCAGCUUGUUGGUGGGGUAACGGCCUACCAAGGCGGCGACGGGUAGCCGGCCUGAGAGGGUGGACAGCCGCAUUGGGACUGGGACACGGCCCAGACUGCUGCGGGAGGCAGCAGUGGGGGAUAAUGCACCAUGGGCGGAAGCCUGAUGCAGCGACGCCGCGUGGAGGGUGACGGCCUUCGGGUUGUAAACUGCUGUCGACCAAGAGGAAGCCACCUGGUUGGAAGGGUUGUGACGGUAGUGGAAGAAGAAGCACCGGCUAACUACGUG
rnacentral:rRNA from 1 species